rfam:Microgenomates bacterium GW2011_GWA1_48_10 TY21_C0027, whole genome shotgun sequence.
GGACCCGUAGUGUAACGGUUAACACAUUUCCCUGUCACGGAAAAGACAGCGAGUUCGACUCUCGUCGGGUCCG